rnacentral:misc_RNA from 1 species
UGCAUCGGUAACCUUCCUGCAUCCAUCAAGAUUCAGCAAUUCCAAAGUUUCACCGUGUAGCCUAGCUAAUGAGAGCACCACUUCAUCGGUCACGUUCAUGCAGUGAGUAAGAUUAACCUUGACGAGUCCUGCCUUGGAGCUCUCCAAAAGUGGGAGAAGCCCAGCAUCUGUUAUUCGAGUAAGCCCACUGAGAUCCAAAUGAUGAAGCUGGGGACAUAGCUUCCCCACCAUAGCUAAGCUUGUGCUACCGAAUCCUGGACAGCUUCGGAUGGACAAAGAUCGGAGAGAAUCACAGGGAGACAAGGAAGAAGCUUGUGGAGGCAAAUCCCGGACUCCCAAACACUUCACCAGGGAAAGCGACUUCAACUUGCUGCAGAUUGAAACAGCAUUUAGGAUGCCUGUUUGGGUGAUCUUGUCGCACUGUUCCAACAAGAGAUGCUCGAGAGAUCCAGCAGCUUGAGCAAACGCAACAAGUCCACUAUCAGUAACAUGUUUACACUCUCGAAAGCACAUGCUUUUCAUAUUUGUGCAGCCCUUUCCCACUUCUUCAAGACUCUCAUCCGCCAAUCCAAUGCAUGAAGUGACUGUCAAAGAAGCCAGAGAUUGCAAACCGUGAGCAGCACCCAUAACCCAAAACCCCCUCGGACUUACGUGCUCAAGUUUACACAGAUUAAGAUCGGUAAUCGCCUUUCCAUAGUGUCCAAUGAUAGCAAGGGAGAAAUCCGUUAUGUUUAGAGAAUGAAGUUUCACUUUCCUCAACCUGGUAUUGUCCGACGACAGAAGGCUAACAACCGCCUGAUCACCUACAAGAGGGCAGUCUUUAAUAGUAAGAGACUCUAAUUUGGUACAACAUCUUCCAAUAGCUUGCAGGCCCUCAUUGACGAUCGAAUCAUGUAAACAUAUUGGAAAUGAGGGCCUGCAAGC